CUACGGGGCGCUGCAGUGGGGAAUAUUGCACAAUGGGGGAAACCCUGAUGCAGCGACGCCGCGUGAACGAUGAAGUAUUUCGGUAUGUAAAGUUCUAUCAGCAGGGAAGAUAAUGACGGUACCUGACUAAGAAGCACCGGCUAAAUACGUGCCAGCAGCCGCGGUAAUAAGUAUGGUGCAAGCGCUAUCCGGAUUUACUGGGUGUAAAGGGUGCGUAGGUGGUAUGGCAAGUCAGAAGUGAAAGCACGGGGCUCAACCCCGUAACUGCUUUUGAAACUGUCAGACUAGGGUGCAGGAGGGAAAGCGGAAUUCCUAGUGUAGCGGUGAAAUGCGUAGAUAUUAGGAGGAACACCAGUGGCGAAGGCGGCUUUCUGGACUGUAACUGACACUGAGGCACGAAAGCGUGGGGAGCAAACAGGAUUAGAUACCCCGGUAGUC
rnacentral:rRNA from 1 species